rnacentral:misc_RNA from 1 species
AAUUUGUUUAUUGAACAGAUUAUUCCAAUGUUGACUUUAACUGAACAACAAAUGAAGAAAUAUCUUGAUACGCCGCAAAGAGGAAUUGAUCCAGCAUUGUGGGAACCGGGCAAGCGAAAAAAUCCUGACCCAAAGAAAUUGAUACCUGUUGUAAAAGUGGGAUUUCAGGAAUUACAGAAACAGUUAAAGUAUCAAGAAGAAUAUGGCAAUAAACUUCAUAAUAGUAUGAAGAAUAUCAUGGAUGAUAUAAGACUAUUAAGUUGUAUGCAGACGACAAUUAAAGCUGCCAUUCAGAAUUUUAGGUUGAAACAGACAAAUAUAAUGCGCCGAGUUCUAAAAUUGGUGUCGGCACAAGAGGUUGAAAGGAAAAAAACUCUACCACUAGAAGAAACAGAGGAUCAGAUUCGACUGCGAUUAGAAAACUUGUGUACACAGCUGCAGGACCUCAAGGGAUGUUUGAAUGAACUAAUGGCUCAGUCUAUAAAGCCUGGUAGUUUUCCGCGAGCCCAACGGUAUGGACUGGUUGUUGACAAAGUGCAGGAUAUAUCACAAUACCUAAAAUGGCAGCAGGAUGCACUUCAGGCUAUAGUUAACAUACUUAAGGAAGAUAUACAAGUGGUCGUUAACAUAAAAAAGAACAUCAGCUAAGUUUUGAGAGUUAAGGAAAUUGGCUAACCGUCAACCAACUUCCCCAAACAACAUUCAAUCAUUGGAAUAAUUUAGUCAAAUAAGCACAAACUGUAAACUGCCAGCUUAAUCAAGAAAGCCUGCCAGUGAUUGGUCAAUAUAAAAUAUUCAGCGUGUGAGGGUUAAUAUCAGAGUCAGUCGAUUUUGCUCCAGCAUGGAGGACACACCUACAAUUUCCUCUCCAUUAACAUGUGGACAGAAACAACAAGAAAGAAGUGAUAAUAACAAUACUAGUGUUGAUGAAGAACCAUUACCUUCAUCAUCCACGUCUUUACCUUUGGGACAAAAAGUUAAUGAAGGGCGUGAGAGAGAAGAAGAGGUGAGACAAAAAAAGGAAUUUGAAUUAAAAAUUAGCCAAAUGUUAGAAACAGAUGGGCAUGGAAGCCGGAAAAUUUUCACUCGAGAAAAUUUAGCACAAGAUAUUGAAGUCAAAAAUGCUAAAUUGAAACUGACUACAAAGACAUCUCAUGAAUAUGAUCUAUUGUCUCGAUAUGAUGUCAAAAAUCUAUUUGGGGAUGACGUCCUAGUAACCAUCGACGAAACUGAACGAAGAAUGAAGCGGGGGACCAAGCGUAAACUGACCAGUGACAAUCAUCAUCGUCAUCAUUCUACUACGGCUGUAACAACAACAACAACAACAACAACAGGAACAGCUGAUCCUGGCCGGAUGUGUCGUCGUUUCAUACAUCAAGGGCAAUUGUAUGAUACGAUUUAUGAUGCACACAGAGCAGUUUGUCACGGAGGAGAAAAAAGAACUUAUUUUGAAGUAAGUAAAACUAUCGCUAACGUCACUCAACAAUCGGUGAAACUCUUUAUUUCACUCUGCCACAUAUGCAAUUUGAAACGACUUCCUCGACGAAAAAAAGGGGUAAUACGGCCCAUUGUAUCUGCCAGUUUUGCGGAGCGAGGACAAAUGGACUUAAUAAAUAUGCAACAAGAAGGAGGAUGUGUGUAAAUAUAUUUUACAUUAUCAGGAUCAUUUAACAAAGUUUUCGGUUUUACGAGCUCUUCGCAGUAAACGGGCGAUUGAAGUGGCACGCCACUUACUCGAUAUAUUUGCUCUCUUGGGAGCCCCACGAAUUUUGCAGAGCGAUAACGGCCGUGAAUUUGUGGCCGAGGUCAUUCAAGAGCU